CAAUCUAGCAAGAAUUCUCAUUUGCAUUUUUUUUAAUUUUUUUAGAGUACUGUGCUCAUAGCAAAAUACCGACUUCAGUCCCAGAGCUUUUGAAAAUUCUGUUUCGAAAGAUCUUUGUUUAAUGAAAAAGGCUCCUAAAUGGCAAUGAGCUACCUGGUAAUUUACCAGAAGAGCUUGGCAACCUUUCGAACUUGACUAGACUCCAAGUUGACCAAAACCAACUCUCUGGUCCUAUACCGCAAACAUUUGCUAACUUGGUCAAAGUUAUACACCUGCUUAUGCACAAUAAUAACUUAUCUGGCUAUCUUCCACCAGAAAUCUUCGUGAUGCAGGGUUUGCGAAUAAUGUAUGUUUUACUUCUUCAUUGUUUAGAUAUGUGUUUUUUUAUUUUUUAUUUUUUCUUUUGGUUGGUAUAACGGAUGUUGACAUGCAUCUGCUUGAUUUUCAAUGCCAAUUCACUCGGUUUAAGGGAGUCCCUACCCCCUUCCAAUUUUUGGUUUUGUGAAAAAGUAAAUAUCUUGCUCUGGUGCGAUAAGCUGACAUUCUCGUGAUGUUCAAACUAUAAGAUUUUUGGUUUUGUAGGUAGCGGAGCAACAUUCUCGUGCUCAACUUUCUUCACAUUCUGUUACUCAUCAGCCAUAGUAGAUUUUUUAUGUUUAAACAUUUGUAGUUGUAUUGACAUUGUGAU